AUGUGGUCUAGUGGUUAGGAUUCGUGGUUUUCACCCACGUGGCCCGGGUUCGAUUCCCGGCUU
rfam:Angiostrongylus cantonensis strain Taiwan genome assembly, scaffold: ACAC_scaffold0004396